GCGGACGUGGUGGAAUUUGGUAGACACGCAAGCUUGAGGGGCUUGUGAGCGGUUUCGCUCGUGGAGGUUCAAGUCCUCUCGUCCGCA
rnacentral:tRNA from 1 species